rnacentral:tRNA from 1 species
GGUUUGUGACUCAGUGGUAGAGCACUUGCCUAUCAUGCCUGAGGCACUGAGUUCAAUUCUCAGCACCA